GACGAACGCUGGCGGCGUGCUUAACACAUGCAAGUCGAACGGAAAGGCCCUGCUUUUGUGGGGUGCUCGAGUGGCGAACGGGUGAGUAACACGUGAGUAACCUGCCCUUGACUUUGGGAUAACUUCAGGAAACUGGGGCUAAUACCGGAUAUGAGCUCCUUCUGCAUGGUGGGGGUUGGAAAGUUUCGGCGGUUGGGGAUGGACUCGCGGCUUAUCAGCUUGUUGGUGGGGUAGUGGCUUACCAAGGCUUUGACGGGUAGCCGGCCUGAGAGGGUGACCGGCAACAUUGGGACUGAGAUACGGCGCAGACGACUACGGGAGGCAGCAGUGGGGAAUAUUGCACAAUGGGCGGAAGCCUGAUGCAGCAACGCAGCGUGCGGGAUGACGGCCUUCGGGUUGUAAACAGAUUUCGCCUGUGACGAAGCGUGAGUGACGGUAAUGGGUAAAGAAGCACCGGCUAACUACGUG
rnacentral:rRNA from 1 species